rnacentral:rRNA from 1 species
UACGGAGGGUGCGAGCGUUGUCCGGAAUCACUGGGCGUAAAGGGCGCGUAGGCGGCUUCUUAAGCGUGCGGUGAAAGCCCGGGGCUCAACCCCGGGUCGGCCGUGCGAACUGGGAAGCUCGAGCCCACUAGAGGCAGGCGGAAUUCCGGGUGUGAGCGGUGGAAUGCGUAGAGAUCCGGAAGAACACCGGUGGCGAAGGCGGCCUGCUGGGGUGGAGCUGACGCUGAGGCGCGACAGCGUGGGGAGCAAACAGG